rnacentral:rRNA from 1 species
GAUGAACGCUAGCGGCAGGCUUAAUACAUGCAAGUCGAGGGGCAGCACGUUUCGCAGCAAUGCGGGAUGGUGGCGACCGGCAAACGGGUGAAGAUCGCGUACACAAUCUUCCCAGAGCAGGGGGAUAACCCGGGGAAACCCGGACUAAUACCCCGUAGUUUACUUUGAAGGCAUCUUUGAGGUAAUAAAACUCCGGUGGCUUUGGAUGAGUGUGCGUCCCAUUAGGUAGUUGGCAGGGUAACGGCCUACCAAGCCUUCGAUGGGUAACUGGUGUGAGAGCACGACCAGUCACACGGGCACUGAGACACGGGCCCGACUCCUACGGGAGGCAGCAGUAAGGAAUAUUGGUCAAUGGACGCAAGUCUGAACCAGCCAUGCCGCGUGAAGGAUGAAGGUCCUCUGGAUUGUAAACUUCUUUUAUAGGGGGCGAAAAAAGGGUUUUUUAACUCACUUGACGGUACCUUAUGAAUAAGCACCGGCUAACUCCGUG